rnacentral:rRNA from 1 species
CAGUAGCCGCGGUAAUACGUAGGUGGCAAGCGUUGUCCGGAAUUAUUGGGCGUAAAGGGCUCGCAGGCGGUUUCUUAAGUCUGAUGUGAAAGCCCCCGGCUCAACCGGGGAGGGUCAUUGGAAACUGGGAAACUUGAGUGCAGAAGAGGAGAGUGGAAUUCCACGUGUAGCGGUGAAAUGCGUAGAGAUGUGGAGGAACACCAGUGGCGAAGGCGACUCUCUGGUCUGUAACUGACGCUGAGGAGCGAAAGCGUGGGGAGCGAACAGGAUUAGAGACCCCGGUAGUCCCUGUCUCUUAUAC